GAUUGUGAUAGAGCAUAUGGAUG
rnacentral:siRNA from 1 species